AUAGCGCUAUUAUACAGGUUAUACGAUGAUAUAUAGAGUAUACACAUGGGCUAGUAUAUUAUAUACAAAACUAGAAACGUGGGUAAUAAUUACUAAAUAACAUUUUUCUAUAAAAUUCGAAAUAUUAUGUUAUUUUAUAUGACAAACUUUGCGAUUGUAAGCAUACUACAUAGGUGUAAUAGGUAUAUAGAUAACUAGUGUACAGAUGUAUAGGUUAUGAUAGGUACUAAAAUCUGCAACGGUCUUAUAGAAUACUAGUGUAAAAUUAUAGGCUGUAUAAUAAGUACUUCUUAGCCAAAUAAGACUUAUAGAACCCUUUAUAGACAGCGAUGAUAUUUAUAUUACAUUGGAAAAUGUCUAAGAAAUGAUAAUUAAACUGUUUGAAAAGCCUUUUACUACCGUAAUGGUUUACAGGAGCCCUAUUAUGUAUUUUCCAAAGACAAGUGUCCUUCCUUUUGUUUGUACACAAACACACACAACAGUCAGAAUCCUCUCAGUAUGUUAAUCAAAGUCAACUAAACAUACAACUCAGCCCGGUGUUUGUAAAUCUUGAAUUACUAUCUCAUAACAUGGCAUAGGGUCUAGGUACUGUUCUUCGAGACCUCUCCUCAUAACCCUUUCCACAUCAACGGAGAUUGAACCCUUUUUAGUAUGUUCUAAAUUGUUCUAUAUACCGCUAAUGUUUUCAUUAUAAACGCUCCAAAGUUCUUAAGUCGUGGUAGAGCGUUUCUCGGUGUCCCCACUUCAGUACAUUGAAAUCCAGUUUACUGGCGGUUCUUUCGCACUUUUUCUUUUGGUAACACCUUUCUUCGCCGCUUUUCCGCAUGCUCUUUUAAAGUAUCCAUCUUGUCGUGAUCGAGAGCGUUCGUAAAUCACUUCUCCCUUUUCGUGCGCUUUAUGUUUAUUUUCUUUGUUCUUCAAACUCCUUUUCUGAAUUAUCCAACUUGUUUUCAUACACAAUGUAUUUAACUUUUGGUUGAAGUUUCGCUUCUUGUAAGAACUCUCUUCGCUCGGUAGAAUCUAGCGAAUGCCCACCGGCAAGAUGAUUCGAUAAUCGAACAAGAUACUUUGCACCACAUCUCGGAAUCGGGCAAUCACGGCAGACACGCGUAUAAACCAUGUUCACUGCUCGACGUCGUAGCUCAAAUGAUUCAAGUCUUUAAAGUAAUCGCUUGAUAUAGAAGGUCCAGAAAGGCUAUAAAACAGGACAAGAAGGGCAAAACCAGGUCGAUCAAGCCAAAAACCAGGCCAAAAGUGCGGAGCAGGAUAGUCCUUUCGUUCCGAGACCACAACAUAGGAGUAUCCACAAGCUUGAUGGUGCUGGAAUUUUUCCGUAGAAGACUUGUUUUGGUCUUGAGCGGUGGACUGUAUUUUUGUCGUCAGACUCUCAAAAUCAGCGUAGAUGGUAAAAGGAAGGCGCAGCUGCUUGUGAUAAUCUCUAAAGCUAAGAAACAUGUUUUCUUCUUUCGGGAGCUCAGUUCUCUGGGCGCCAUGCUGACUGCAUAGUAGUUGAUGAUCAUCCAACAAAUCCUGACGCACGAAACCGUGAAGACAGAAGGGGCAGUAGAACAUCCGACCCUUGUGCUUGGUUUGACGGGAAAGAAAACGGUUCAGAUUCCGAAUAAGGCAGUAGUGUCGCCUCUCUCCCUGGGAGUACAGUAACAGGUUGAUGUGAGUGGAAAAUCGUUCCUUGCUAAUAUGUAGAGGCAGUAGAACAUCCGACCCUUGUGCUUGGUUUGACGGGAAAGAAAGCGGUUCAGAUUCCGAAUAAGGCAGUAGUGUUGCCUCUCUCCCUGGGAGUACAGUAACAGGUUGAUGUGAGUGGAAAAUCGUUCCUUGCUAAUUUGUACUGGAAACGGAGUCCCCUGUUCGUAUCCAAACACAUUGACAGCAAUCUUGUUCUGCUUCUCGAACUUUGGGAUCUUAUCGAGUGAGACCAUGAUUCAGUCUGACAAAGUCAACCAACCAGCUGCUAGUGUUUCAGAUCACCAUGUAACUCCAGUAAAACCUCAGGAUAGUUCUGUUACCCAAACUCCUGUGCUGAGGAGAUCUCAGAGAGUUGUCAAACCGGUUGUCAAACUAGAUCUAUAAGUAGUUGUGUUCAGGGUAUAGUUAACUCCUCCUUUUAGGGGAAAGCAGUGUAAUGUAUUAAUACCCAUGAUGCUUUGCGAAUAAAGUUGUUGUAGUUUGCUGACUCAUCGAGUGGUCGUCUUUCUCCAUGUAGAGUUCGUUUCCCCAAAAUACUACAACAGGGAAUUCAAUGCCUUCAAAGUUAAGUUCGUUCGCAUAGGGUGUGUAUUGCUGUACUCGUUCGGAAUGCCGUUCCACAGGAUGUAGAGCCGCUAGGACACUCCACAUGAAGCACUUGUUAUCAUUGUUUUUGAUAUUCACCUCCACUUUUCUGUUUUUUUUAAUUUCUUAGGUAACGGGAGAUAACUAGAGCCUUUGAGGGAUUUGUAGAGAUCCACAUUCAAAUCAAGAUGUAGAAUUUCAUCAAUAAUCUAACCUCUGCCUUCCCUUUGGUACUAAGCACAGUUGUUUAAAAUCUUCAGGUUCGCAUCGCUUACUUGUUCUUCUAAUUCACUGGGGUUAACCGCCGUCAUGCAAAAACUACCAAAAUGGGGUUCCGAGAACGUCUAAACCGUCAGCCUUGUGCUUAACAAACUUGACUUUCGCAUUGGUAAACCACUUUAUCCCUCUUUUCGAUGCUAACUCUUCUCUCAGACGGUUUAGCAGAUAUCUUUUCUUGCCGGAUAGAAACACCCUCAGGUCAUGUUUUUCAUGGGAUCGUGGUUUGUACUUGAAACUCUUCAAAGAUUCCAUCAUAGCAGAGGUGUCGCAGACGAAGGUCAUCUUGAAGUCUCUGAGCUUCCUUGAAGGGACGAGAACCUCUACAUGUGCGGAUUAGAACCGAGGGCUCUAUUUAUACCCGCACUGAACAAAGGCUCUUGUGAUACCGGCUUCACCAUUGGUUGAAGCCGAAAAAGGUAUUGUGACGUCGUCAAAGCUGGGCAUGUAGACAAAUUUCAGAAAUAAACGGCUAGGCAGCGAAAUAGCCUGACUAUUGCAAACCACCCGAAGUCUACCGAGGUGAAGAUGCGUUGGACAAAUUCCUAGAGUCCUUACAGCAA